rnacentral:tRNA from 1 species
GCCCGGGUGGCGAAAUGGCAGACGCAACGGACUUAAAAUCCGUUUCCCGCAAGGGAGUGCGGGUUCGACUCCCGCCCCGGGCA